rnacentral:rRNA from 1 species
UUAAGCAGGGAUUGUUUUGCAGGUACAUACACUUUAGCUUCUUACCCUGAUGAAAGAGGUUUACAACCCGAAGGCCGUCAUCCCUCACGCGGCGUCGCUGGCAUCAGGCUUUCACCCAUUGUGCAAUAUUCCCCACUGCUGCCUCCCGUAGGAGUCUGGGCCGUGUCUCAGUCCCAGUGUGGCCGGUCGCCCUCUCAGACCGGCUACCCGUCGUCGCCUUGGUGAGCCGUUACCUCACCAACAAGCUGAUAGGCCGCGGGCUCAUCCUGCACCGCCGGAGCUUUCCACCACCAAGGAUGCCCAAGAUGGUCGUAUCCGGUAUUAGACCCCGUUUCCAGGGCUUGUCCCAGAGUGCAGGGCAGAUUGCCCACGUGUUACUCACCCGUUCGCCACUAUCGCACCGAAGAGACUGAAGA